rnacentral:sRNA from 1 species
CCUCAAAGCUAAUUUCAGGUCACAAUUUGAGGUCAAAGGCUUUUAAAGCCUUUGCCUACAAGUCACUCCAAGAUGAGCAGAUAAAGUGUGAUGAACACAGAUAGAGUGAGCUUCUGACCACAGGACAUUUGCACAGCCCCUGUUGCAAAAAGAGCCAGUUUAUUUACUGAAGGGAAAAAAGUUGCAGAGCAAUUACUUUAAGAAAAAUUGUAAGGAAGAAACCCCUGUAUAGUGCUGUAUAGUGUCAGCGUCUUGUGUGGUAGUCUCAUCUUCUCUGGGCUGGGGCCGGUUCUAGAGUGGAGGAUGCCAUUGUUGACCUCGGGACUGGGGGCCCACUUGUGCAGAACUACAUCAGGGGGUAUGGUGGGGCCUUGAGCUCUGGGCUCCACCGGUAGAGUUUUGCAGGGGUGUUCAAUGAACUCAGUUAUUUACAAACCACACCCAGGCCCAUCUGCCCCUUCCCAAGACACUAGCUGGGUCUUGAGCCAUGUGACUGAGCUCGACUGAUUCCCUGCCCAGCCUAGGAGCUGAGCUUGUCCUGUGCUCAGUCUUCCCAUAAGGACAUGCCAGGUUUGUGUGUACCUGGGAACAUGCAUGCCCAUAGCCUGCAUCUGUAGUAGGUCAAGAUGUGAUAGGCCGGAAGCAAGAGGAGAGGAUUUGGCCUUUGACCUGUCAGGCUCAGAAUACAAGGGCCCCCCAGGGUGUAGCACCCUGAUGGGGGGAGCAAUUUUACCACCCCUUUGACUCAGCCAGACCCUCUCACCAGAGUCCACUCUCUUCCCCCAACAGGUUGUUUGACUGGCUAGUAUCAGUGAUCAACAGCAGCAUCUGUGCAGACACCGACUCGUGGACCACUUUCAUAGGUAGCAAGGCCUCACUGUGCUGGGAGCACUCCAGAAAAAGAGCAAUAAAGCCCUGGAUGGAGAGGCAGGAGCCCUGGGUCCACUGUGUGACUCUGGGCAGUUCCUUUCCCUUUUUUGUCUCCUCUUGCAUCUGCCUGCCAGCAUAGGGCGAGAUCUCUGCAUAGGGUGAGAUCUCUGCUCUCCUGCACCCACAUCUGAGCAGUCCAUAACUCUCCAGACAGGCUCAACAGUGCCUUGUCUGAAAGAGCCCUUUACCUCCCCAGAGACCCAGCUCUAAUUGUGGGAGAGUAGUGGGGGUUGGGGAAAAUAGCUGGAUUAGAAGGGACUUUGGAGGCUGGCACCGUGGCUCACACCUGUAAUCCCAACAUUUUGGGAGGCCAAAGUGGGAGGAUCACUGGAGGCCAGGAGUUGGAGACCAGCCUGGGCAAUAUAGCAAGACCCCAUUUCAAAGAAAUUAGCCAGGCAUGGUGCUACAUGCCUGUAGUCCCAGCUACUCAGGAGACCGAGGUGGGAGGAUCACUUUAGCCCAAGAGUUUGAAGCUUCUGUGAGCUGUGAUCACACCACUGCACUCCAGCCUGGUCAACAGAGCAAGACCCUAUCUCAGGGGGGAAAACAAAAAAAGACUUGGGGGACAUGACUGAGGGAGGUCAACACGGUUGUAACUAGGUGGGACAGUCAGUUAUAGGAGGAAAUAAAGCUUAAAGGUACAAGUGCAGUUUGCUCAUGGAAUGGUGGAAUUCUAGGCACCAAAUUGGCUAGUGAGACUAAUGCCCUCCAAACUAGAUUUCACACAGAAAAUGUUCCCUGGGACCUGGUUUCCUAUAGGAGGUGCCUAUCAGAACCAGAGAAUUCAGACUCAAAAAUGGGCCUGAUGCUCUGGGCUGUCUUCACACUUCAUUUGGGUUUCCUGCUUGCUCUGAGCUCUACAGGGGAAUGGGGUAGAGAUGGGAGCCACCUUGGGUGGAGGGUGGGGAAGGUAUGUUCUGCCCACCACAGGUGUCAUGCUCACUCAGCCUGAUGCCCAGGAUGCCAAGUGUAAGGCAUUGGCAGGGGCCCAGCCACCCUGGGUUCCUUGGUCCCCUAUUCCCCAUCUGCUCCCUGCAGUGGCCCCAUGGGUUCUCUGCCAUCCUCCCAGGCCUGCUGGAUGUGUAUGGAUUUGAAUCAUUCCCUGACAACAGUCUGGAACAGUUGUGCAUCAACUACGCCAAUGAGAAGCUGCAGCAGCAUUUUGUGGCUCACUACCUAAGGGCCCAGCAGGAGGAAUACGCAGUUGAGGGCCUGGAGUGGUCAUUCAUCAACUACCAGGACAACCAGCCCUGUUUGGAUCUCAUUGAGGGAAGCCCCAUCAGCAUCUGCUCCCUCAUAAAUGAGGAAUGCCGCCUCAAUCGACCCAGCAGCGCAGCCCAGCUCCAGACACGCAUUGAGACUGCCCUGGCAGGCAGUCCCUGCCUGGGCCACAAUAAGCUCAGCCGGGAGCCCAGCUUCAUUGUGGUGCAUUAUGCGGGGCCUGUGCGGUACCACACAGCAGGCCUGGUGGAGAAGAACAAGGACCCUAUCCCACCUGAGCUGACCAGGCUCCUGCAGCAAUCCCAGGACCCCCUGCUUAUGGGGCUGUUUCCUACUAACCCCAAAGAGAAGACCCAGGAGGAACCCCCUGGCCAGAGCAGGGCCCCUGUGUUGACCGUGGUGUCUAAGUUCAAGGCCUCACUGGAGCAGCUUCUGCAGGUCCUACACAGCACCACGCCCCACUACAUUCGCUGCAUCAAGCCCAACAGCCAGGGCCAGGCGCAGACCUUCCUCCAAGAGGAGGUCCUGAGCCAGCUGGAGGCCUGUGGCCUCGUGGAGACCAUCCAUAUCAGUGCUGCUGGCUUCCCCAUCCGGGUCUCUCACCAAAACUUUGUAGAACGAUACAAGUUACUAAGAAGGCUUCAUCCUCGCACAUCCUCUGGCCCCGACAGCCCAUAUCCUGCCAAAGGGCUCCCUGCCUCUGUCUUCAGAGAGGCACUGGGCAUCUAAGGUGGUCAGAGCCCUCAGAAUGGUGUCCACACAGCGAGGAAGCCACGCUUGAACCUCUCAUCCAGGACAUUCUCCACACUCUGCCAGUCCUAACUCAGGCAGCAGCCAUAACUGGUGACUCGGCUGAGGCCAUGCCAGCCCCCAUGCACUGUGGCAGGACCAAGGUGUUCAUGACUGACUCCAUGCUGGAGCUUCUGGAAUGCGGGCGUGCCCGGGUGCUGGAGCAGUGUGCCCGCUGCAUCCAGGGUGGCUGGAGGCGACACCGGCACCGAGAGCAGGAGCGGCAGCGGCGGGCCGUCAUGCUCAUCCAGGCAGCCAUUCGUUCCUGGUUAACUCGGAAACACAUCCAGAGGCUGCAUGCAGCUGCCACAGUCAUCAAGCGUGCAUGGCAGAAGUGGAGAAUCAGAAUGGCCUGCCUUGCUGCUAAAGAGCUGGAUGGUGUGGAAGAAAAACACUUCUCUCAAGUUCCCUGUUCCCUGAGCACCUCGCCGCUGCAGACCAGGCUCCUGGAGGCAAUAAUCCGCCUCUGGCCCCUGGGACUGGUCCUGGCCAAUACGGCUAUGGGUGUAGGCAGCUUUCAGAGGAAAUUAGUGGUCUGGGCUUGCCUCCAGCUCCCCAGGGGCAGCCCCAGUAGCUACACUGUCCAGACAGCACAAGACCAGGCUGGUGUCACGUCCAUCCGAGCGCUGCCUCAGGGAUCGAUAAAGUUUCACUGCAGAAAGUCUCCACUGCGGUAUGCUGACAUCUGCCCUGAACCUUCGCCCUACAGCAUUACAGGCUUUAAUCAGAUUCUGCUGGAAAGACACAGGCUGAUCCACGUGACCUCUUCUGCCUUCACUGGGCUGGGGUGAUCCUUGGUGCCUUUGUUUCCACAAGGCCUUUUCCUGCCCCCUGCCUUGCCAAAGACAUUUAAUCAGCACACAGCUGCCAGACUAUUCCCACAGUGCUCCAAAUGCACAUGAACAACAGUGACGGCUCCAGCCCUCGACCCAGAGCCCCGUGCCCAGUGCGUCAGUGGGCCUGGGGUUCCAGGCUACAUCAAGCACGGAUGGUGUCAGGGCUGGUAGUUACCAAACCAGGGUUAAGAAACAUCAGGGCCACAUUUCAUUACCUUCACAGAUCAAACUCAGCAGCAGUCAUGACUGUCUGUCACUACAUUGGGGAUCCCAAUUCCACAUAAGCACUUUUGGAAGAAAACAGCCAAAGUUGGCCUAAAAUUGGCGCUGGAAUUUGGGCUGGGAAAAAUCUUGUGGUUACUUUCUUUAAAAAGGAACAAAACUUUAGUAUUUAAUUAGUUGAUCUAUUUAAUGUAAUUUCAAACAAUUAAAUUAUGAAUAAUGCAAUGUA